AAUAGAUACCCCGGUAGUCCACGCCGUAAACGAUGAGUGCUAAGUGUUAGGGGGUUUCCGCCCCUCAGUGCUGCAGCUAACGCAUUAAGCACUCCGCCUGGGGAGUACGGUCGCAAGACUGAAACUCAAAGGAAUUGACGGGGGCCCGCACAAGCGGUGGAGCAUGUGGUUUAAUUCGAAGCAACGCGAAGAACCUUACCAGGUCUUGACAUCCCGCUGACCGCUAUGGAGACAUAGCUUUCCCUUCGGGGACAGCGGUGACAGGUGGUGCAUGGUUGUCGUCAGCUCGUGUCGUGAGAUGUUGGGUUAAGUCCCGCAACGAGCGCAACCCUUGUCCUUAGUUGCCAUCAUUCAGUUGGGCACUCUAAGGAGACUGCCGUACAAAUACGGAGGAAGGUGGGGAUGACGUCAAAUCAUCAUGCCCCUUAUGACCUGGGCUACACACGUGCUACGAUGGACGGUACAAACGGUUGCGAAGUCGCGAGACGGAGCCAAUCCGAGAAAGCCGUUCUCAGUUCGGAUUGCAGG
rnacentral:rRNA from 1 species